rnacentral:rRNA from 1 species
GGAAGAGCUCAAAUUUGAAAUCUGGCGUCCUCCGGGCGUCCGAGUUGUAAUCUAUAGAAGCGUUUUCCGCGCCGGACCGUGUAUAAGUCUCCUGGAACGGAGUAUCAAAGAGGGUGACAAUCCCGUGCUUUACACGACGACCGGUGCUAUGUGAUACGUUCUCUACGAGUCGAGUUGUUUGGGAAUGCAGCUCAAAACGGGUGGUAAACUCCAUCUAAAGCUAAAUAUUGGUGGGAGACCGAUAGCGAACAAGUACCGUGAGGGAAAGAUGAAAAGCACUUUGGAAAGAGAGUUAAACAGUAUGUGAAAUUGUUGAAAGGGAAACGAUUGAAGUCAGUCGUGUCCAUUGGGUUCAGCCGGUCCUGCCGGUCUACUCCCUUUGGACGGGUCAACAUCAGUUCUGACCGGCGGAUAAUGGCACGAGGAACGUGGCACCCUCCGGGGUGUGUUAUAGCCUCGCGUCGCAUACGCUGGUCGGGACUGAGGAACGCAGCUCGCCUUCAUGGCCGGGGUACGCCCACGUACGAGCU